GCGGGAAUAGCUCAGCUGGUAGAGCGUCACGUUGCCAACGUGAAUGUCGCGAGUUCGAAUCUCGUUUCCCGCUCUA
rnacentral:tRNA from 2 species